AACGGACGCUGGCGGCAGGCCUAACACAUGCAAGUCGAACGUGAAGCCACCUUCGGGUGGUGGAAAGUGGCAGACGGGUGAGUAACGCGUGGGAACGUGCCUUUCGGUUCGGGAUAACCCAGGGAAACUUGGGCUAAUACCGGAUACGCCCUCCGGGGGAAAGAUUCAUUGCCGAAAGAUCGGCCCGCGUCGGAUUAGCUAGUUGGUGGGGUAAAAGCCUACCAAGGCGACGAUCCGUAGCUGGUCUGAGAGGAUGACCGGCCACACUGGGACUGAGACACGGCCCAGACUCCUACGGGAGGCAGCAGUGGGGAAUAUUGGACAAUGGGCGCAAGCCUGAUCCAGCCAUGCCGCGUGGGUGAAGAAGGCCCUAGGGUUGUAAACCCCUUUCAGCGGGGAAGAUAAUGACGGUACCCGCAGAAGAAGCCCCGGCUAACUCCGUGCCAGCAGCCGCAGUAAUAC
rnacentral:rRNA from 1 species